rnacentral:rRNA from 1 species
CCUACGGGGGGCAGCAGUCGAGAAUCAUUCACAAUGGGGGAAACCCUGAUGGUGCGACACCGCGUGGGGGAAUGAAGGUCUUCGGAUUGUAAACCCCUGUCAUGUGGGAGCAAAUUAAAAAGAUAGUACCACAAGAGGAAGAGACGGCUAACUCUGUGCCAGCAACCGCGGUAAUACAGAGGUCUCAAGCGUUGUUCGGAAUCACUGGGCGUAAAGCGUGCGUAGGGUGUUUCGUAAGUCGUGUGUGAAAGGCGCGGGCUCAACCCGCGGACGGCACAUGAUACUGCGAGACUAGAGUAGUGGAGGGGGAACCGGAAUUCUCGGUGUAGCAGUGAAAUGCGUAGAUAUCGAGAGGAACACUCGUGGCGAAGGCGGGUUCCUGGACAUUAACUGACGCUGAGGCACGAAGGCCAGGGGAGCGAAAGGGAUUAGAUACCCCGGUAGUC